rnacentral:rRNA from 1 species
AUUGAACGCUAGCGGGAUGCUUUACACAUGCAAGUCGAACGGAGUGGCGAACGGGCGAGUAAUGUAUAGGAACGUGCCCAGUAGCGGGGGAUAACUACGCGAAAGCGUAGCUAAUACAGUAUACUAUGGGAGCGGCCGAUAGCGGAUUAGGUAGUUGGUGGGGUAACGGGUGACCUAGCCGACGAACCGUAGCUGGUUUGAGCGGACGACCAGCUACACUGGGACAGAGAGACGGCCCAAACUCCUACGGGCGGCAGCGGUGGGGAAUUUUGGACUAUGGGAGAAACCCUGAACCAGCCAUCCCGCGUGUGCGAUGAAGGCCUUCGGGUUGUAAAGUACUUUUGGCAGGAAGGCGGUACCUGCAGAAGAAGCACCGGCUAACUACGUGCCAGCAGCCGCGGUAAUUC